rnacentral:rRNA from 1 species
GAUGAACGCUAGCGGGAGGCUUAACACAUGCAAGUCGAGGGGCAGCAUAGGGUAGCAAUACUCUGAUGGCGACCGGCAAACGGGUGAGUAACGCGUAUGCAACCUACCCUGUACAGGGGGAUAACCCGGAGAAAUUCGGACUAAUAUCCCGUAAUAAUAUCCGGAGGCAUCUUUGGAUAUUUAAAGUUCCGACGGUACGGGAUGGGCGUGCGUAACAUUAGCUGGUUGGUAAGGUAACGGCUUACCAAGGCUAUGAUGUUUAGGGGUCCUGAGAGGGUGGUCCCCCACACUGGUACUGAGACACGGACCAGACUCCUACGGGAGGCAGCAGUGAGGAAUAUUGGUCAAUGGGCGCAAGCCUGAACCAGCCAUCCCGCGUGCAGGAAGACGGCCCUAUGGGUUGUAAACUGCUUUUCCAGGGAGAGAAACUUACGCACGUGUUGCGUGACUGACGGUACCCUGGGAAUAAGCAUCGGCUAACUCCGUG